GUUCUGUGACACGUACCAGCUGGCAGAGAACAUCAAGGCGCUGCUGGAAGAAGAGCCAAGGGACCAGCUGUGCACAGACCUUCGGCAUCUUUCCAUGCUGGCUCUGGAGAAAUUGAGCUUGGUGGACACAGCGCUGGAGGGCAAAGCCAAAAGCCUCCUCCGCACGUGUUUCUCAAGUGUCUUCUGGCUGCCUGCAGAG